rnacentral:lncRNA from 1 species
GGAAAAUAUUUUCAUUUGGAGAAAUAUAAAGCACCCCACUCUAAUUGCUUUGCAUUUGGGUUUCCUGAAAGUCUCAGGAAACAAGAGACAGGCCAUACACCCUUCAUCCUUGGUGUUUCAGAACUGAGACUGAGGGCAUGCACCCCUCUCCAGGGUUGGAGAGGGGCAGGAGGGGCUGGAGGUCACUUAACUCUAGCAUCUGGGCUAGGAAAGCAUCAAUUCCAAACCUGUCUCCUGAAUAGCCCUCCUACCGUUAAAGACACUCAUGCCUAAAAGAGAAUCAGAGAAAAUGUUACUGGUUGCCCGUUUCUACAGUGGUCUAUCCAUUUUUUCAGGACGUCUACCUUGUACUCACCCAAACCCUUCUGGCUGCAGUUCAAGCUUGUUUCUACCUGCCAGUUCAUGGUGAAACUUGGAGCCUUGCCACCAUGUUUCAUUUGUUGAUUCUUGCUUUCAGGGCACAAGGUUUAGCCAAGUCCUUGGAGAUCCAGGUAACACUGAGUUUUACUUCACACUUGAAGAUCAAGAGCACUGGACAGGUAUGAAUACACUCAGAGGAAGGCAAAGGACCUGUCUUCCUGUUUCUCUGUCUAAGGAGGGGAGGAAUCAUUCCCUGUGAGUCCCCGCAGUCUUCUGUCAGCAUUCUUGCAUCAGUGACGGGCAAGAGAAUGGGAUUGUUGAGACAGCUCCAUUAGAGCAACUCCAUGAGCACUACAGGCUUUCUCUAAGGGGCUGCUGCAAAACCCCCCAGGAGCAUCUGCCCUGAGCCUCAGCCUGUACCAAGCAGGGUCAUGGAGAAACAAAGGAAGGGCCCCCACCACCCUGCCCAGGGGCUCACCGUGCAAGGAGGCAAAGCAAGAACAACAUAGACUGGUAACUGCCUGGGCAACACCUGGGCUUGCUCCUUCCCAGCUUCUGGCUGCAUGGUCUCUGGAGCAGGACGACGACGGACCCUUGGACAAGCUGCAGACUUGGCUGGGCCUACAAGAAGGCUUUUCCCUGGGGCCCAGAGCAGAGGUAGAACUGGGAUGGACACUCAUGGCACAGUGUGGAACCAAGUAGGGAGAGGUGCGAUAAAGACUUCCUCUUCUUUGGACCAACAAUGACCAGGACAUUUCAGCCCAGAGCAGGCUGGUUCCUAGACUGAGCUGUCUGGUUAGAUG